AUUGAACGCUGGCGGCAUGCCUUACACAUGCAAGUCGAACGGCAGCACGGGAGCAAUCCUGGUGGCGAGUGGCGAACGGGUGAGUAAUAUAUCGGAACGUGCCCAGUAGUGGGGGAGUAGCCGGCGAAGACCGGAUUAAUACCGCAUACGACCUGCGGGUGGAAAGCGGGGGGAGUCGCAAGACCUCGCGCUAUUGGAGCGGCCGAUAUCAGAUUAGCUUGUUGGNGGGGUAAAAGGACCUACCAAGGCGACGAUCUGUAGCUGGUCUGAGAGGACGACCAGCCACACUGGGACUGAGACACGGCCCAGACUCCUACGGGAGGCAGCAGUGGGGAAGUUUUGGACAAUGGGCGCAAGCCUGAUCCAGCCAUG
rnacentral:rRNA from 1 species